rnacentral:lncRNA from 1 species
AGGGAGAUUCGAAAUUCAAUUCUUGAUUCUCUAGACAUUGUAACUAUUAGUAAUCUGUCUAUAUCUUAUCGAGGUUACAGUAUGUUCAUAGAGAUUAAAUUCUAUGUUUGUAUAUGAAAUAAGUUGUUCGAUUAUAUUUUGCGUAUUUUUUUAUAGCGAUUGGCAUGUGAAUGUUGAUAUCAGAAUAUAAAGUUGAAAUAAGCAAUAGUCAU